rnacentral:rRNA from 1 species
GACGAACGCUGGCGGCGUGCCUAAUACAUGCAAGUAGAACGCACAGUUUAUACCGUAGCUUGCUACACCAUAGACUGUGAGUUGCGAACGGGUGAGUAACGCGUAGGUAACCUGCCUGGUAGCGGGGGAUAACUAUUGGAAACGAUAGCUAAUACCGCAUAAUAUUAUUUAUUGCAUGAUAAUUAAUUGAAAGGUGCAAUUGCACCACUACCAGAUGGACCUGCGUUGUAUUAGCUAGUAGGUGAGGUAACGGCUCACCUAGGCGACGAUACAUAGCCGACCUGAGAGGGUGAUCGGCCACACUGGGACUGAGACACGGCCCAGACUCCUACGGGAGGCAGCAGUAGGGAAUCUUCGGCAAUAGACGAAAGUCUGACCGAGCAACGCCGCGUGAGUGAAGAAGGUUUUCGGAUCGUAAAGCUCUGUUGUAAGAGAAGAACGGGUGUGAGAGUGGAAAGUUCACACUGUGACGGUAUCUUACCAGAAAGGGACGGCUAACUACGUG